rnacentral:rRNA from 1 species
UACGAAGGGGGCUAGCGUUGUUCGGAAUCACUGGGCGUAAAGGGCGCGUAGGCGGCCUGAUAAGUAGGGGGUGAAAUCCUGCGGCUUAACCGCAGGGCUGCCUUCUAAACUGUCAGGCUAGAGCACGGUAGAGGCAGAUGGAAUUCCCGGUGUAGCGGUGGAAUGCGUAGAGAUCGGGAAGAACAUCAGUGGCGAAGGCGGUCUGCUGGGCCGUUGCUGACGCUGAGGCGCGACAGCGUGGGGAGCAAACAGG